rnacentral:rRNA from 1 species
UCCUACGGGGGGCAGCAGUAGGGAAUUUUCGUCAAUGGGCGCAAGCCUGAACGAGCAAUGCCGCGUGAACGAGGAAGGUCUUCGGAUCGUAAAGUUCUGUUGAAGGGGAAAAAGAGCGGAGAGAGGAAAUGGUCUCCGAUUGAUAUUACCCUUCGAGGAAGUCACGGCUAACUACGUGCCAGCAGCCGCGGUAAUACGUAGGUGGCGAGCGUUAUCCGGAAUGAUUGGUCGUAAAGGGUGCGUAGGCGGCCUGCUAAGUCUGGAGUGAAAGGUACCGGCUCAACCGGUACAGGCUCUGGAAACUG